AAGGAUGAAGGAAAUUUAUCAUCCUUCCAACGUGAGUGAAAGGGUGAGAAAGGAAGUUUUCUUUUCUUUACAAUUUAGUCCUUUGCCAUGAAAACCUACAUUUUUAUCCAAAAUUUUUGAAUUUUUCCUUAGAUAUUAAAGAGAGAAGAUGAAGUAGAGGUUCUAGAGAAUAUUUUCAUCAAUUUAGAAGCAAAGUAGAGGUUCUAGAGAAUAUGUUCAUCAAUUUAGAAGCAAGAAAAUAGUAUAUGAAAGUGGAGAAAAUGGGAAGAAAAAGGAAGGAAAGUGGUGAAGAUGAGAAAUGCAUGGAAAUGAAGAAAUUCUUGACAAAGGAAGAAAAUAGAGACAACGUCACGAUAACAAGUUCACCAUGUCAUGACGUGAAAACCCCAACAUCGCGACGACAGUUCAACAUUUUUUAUGAACUAUACAAUUUGGCCUUUGAUCAAUUGUGGAUGUUUUAAUAAGCUCCUUUAACUCAUAAUUAGUUCUAUUGUAAAUUCAAUUAUUACUGAAACGAGUUAAUGAUAUAUAUUAAUUAAAGAA